rnacentral:rRNA from 1 species
GCCCACUUCCACAUGCCCCGGCGCUCUCCACUCACCUCGCUCUCUCCCUCCUCACUGAUUCCCCAUCUCCCGAGCGCGGCCGUCACCGACCACCAUGCUUCGUCGCGGCCACCGGCGUUACUGCGCCCGCAGCUCGUGUCCACGAGCAUAGCCUCGUUCGUCUCCGUCGACUGGAGCCGUCCAUUUGAGCCGGGCGAUGCCAUUGUGCGCAGAUCGAGCCGGUCUUGUCUUCUGCAUCACCGGCAAUCCUCGUCGACCUCGCUCUGCCACAACCACCGGCCACCUCUCGCCCCGCUGUUGCGUCCGCGAAGACCGCCGCCGUCCACUACAUCCUCUACGCCAACAAACACGAGCCGGGGAGCACAUCUGCGACCACUACGACUCCAUCUUCCUCCUUCGACCGCCGCCGAUCUCCUCCGAUCCCGGCGUCUUCUUCAUCUGCGACGAGCUCUGCAGCUCCUAAACCUCCCGCCGAGCCUCCGUGUGCUCCUAG